rnacentral:pre_miRNA from 1 species
AGGGAAACCCACAGUCCUGGUUGGCCUGGGACUGAGGGGCUCUACAGGAUGGGGGACUUUUUAGUAGGGUGAACUAGAGCAGUUGGCCAUGCUGG